GCUCCAAUGAUGGAAUUGGUAGACAUGCCUGAUUUAGAAUCAGGUGCGAACUAAUAGUAGCGUGUAGGUUCGAAUCCUACUUGGAGUACAA
rnacentral:tRNA from 1 species